rnacentral:tRNA from 1 species
AAGGGUAUAGCUCAGUGGCAGAGCACAUGCUUAGCGUACACGCGGUCCUGGGUUCAAUCCCCAGUACGUCUG